rnacentral:rRNA from 1 species
GUAACGCAGCUAACGCGUGAAGUAGACCGCCUGGGGAGUACGGUCGCAAGAUUAAAACUCAAAGGAAUUGACGGGGACCCGCACAAGCGGUGGAUGAUGUGGAUUAAUUCGAUGCAACGCGAAAAACCUUACCUACGCUUGACAUGCUCGGAAUCCUGCAGAGAUGUGGGAGUGCCCGAAAGGGAACCGGGACACAGGUGCUGCAUGGCUGUCGUCAGCUCGUGUCGUGAGAUGUUGGGUUAAGUCCCGCAACGAGCGCAACCCUUGUCAUUAGUUGCUACGCAAGAGCACUCUAAUGAGACUGCCGGUGACAAACCGGAGGAAGGUGGGGAUGACGUCAAGUCCUCAUGGCCCUUAUGCGUAGGGCUUCACACGUCAUACAAUGGUCGGUACAGAGGGCUGCCAACCCGCGAGGGGGAGCUAAUCCCGUAAAACCGAUCGUAGUCCGGAUUGGAGUCUGCAACUCGACUCCAUGAAGUCGGAAUCGCUAGUAAUCGUGGAUCAGCAUGCCACGGUGAAUACGUUCCCGGGUCUUGUACACACCGCCCGUCACACCAUGGGAGUGGGUUUUACCAGAAGUAGUU